UAUGUCAAAAUAUUGGGAUGC
rnacentral:siRNA from 1 species